UACGUAGGGGGCAAGCGUUGUCCGGAAUCAUUGGGCGUAAAGCGCGUGUAGGCGGCUCGGUAAGUCCGCUCUGAAAGUCCAGGGCUCAACCUGGGAUGCGGGUGGAUACUGCCGGGCUCGAGUCCGGAAGAGGCGAGUGGAAUUCCCGGUGUAGCGGUGAAAUGCGCAGAUAUCGGGAGGAACACCAAUGGCGAAGGCAGCCCUGGCUGG
rnacentral:rRNA from 1 species